CACAGGCAGCCCUACAGCCUUCCCAGCAUAGGCAGAUACGCACAGUUACUCCACGGGACGCAGGACUGCCAACGCCGCCAUGUAAUACACAGGUUCACAUUUA